rnacentral:rRNA from 1 species
CCUACGGGUGGCAGCAGUGGGGGAUAUUGGGCAAUGGGCGCAAGCCUGACCCAGCAACGCCGCGUGAGGGAAGAAGGCUUUCGGGUUGUAAACUUCUGUUAGGAGGGAAGAGAGGAAGACGGUACCUCUUGAAUAAGCCACGGCUAACUACGUGCCAGCAGCCGCGGUAAUACGGAGGUGGCAAGCGUUGUCCGGAUUUACUGGGUGUAAAGGGCGUGCAGCCGGGAAGACAAGUCUGAUGUGAAAUCCCGCGGCCCAACCGCGGAACUGCAUUGGAAACUGUUUUGCUUGAGUGCAGGAGAGGUCAUCGGAAUUCCUAGUGUAGCGGUGAAAUGCGUAGAUAUAAGGAAGAACACCAGUGGCGAAGGCGGAUGACUGGACUGCAACUGACGUUGAGGCGCGAAAGCGUGGGGAGCAAACAGGAUUAGAUACCCGAGUAGUC